GCCCGUGUAGUGAAGUGGUAUCGCGUUUCCCUCCUAAGGAAGAAAUCCUGGGUUCGAUCCCCAGCUCGGGCU